CCAUCUACCUACAGAGAGUUCGUAUUCACUGGGGAUCUCUUUGGCCCAGCUUAAGCCAGCCAGAUUGGCUGGGCUCAGCUGGGUGGUUCUUCCCUGGGAUCUCUCAUGCAGUGGUGUUUAGCAGUCUUCAGGGAUGCAGUGAUCCGAAAGUUCAGUUGGCCUGGACAUCCAAGAUGGCCCGCUCAACUGGCUGACAGUCAGAGGUGACUGUUCACUGGGAGAAUGCUACUGCAGAAUAUGUUCCACCAGAAUAAGG